rnacentral:pre_miRNA from 1 species
GUAUUUUUAUUAGCAUUCAUAUGAACCUUAGUCACAAACAUAACUAAGGCACACAAUGAAUGUUAAUAAAAAUAUU